GUCAGAUGUGAAAUCCCCGGGCUCAACCUGGGAACUGCAUCUGAUACUGGCAAGCUUGAGUCUCGUAGAGGGGGGUAGAAUUCCAGGUGUAGCGGUGAAAUGCGUAGAGAUCUGGAGGAAUACCGGUGGCGAAGGCGGCCCCCUGGACGAAGACUGACGCUCAGGUGCGAAAGCGUGGGGAGCAAACAGGAUUAGAUACCCUGGUAGUCCACGCCGUAAACGAUGUCGACUUGGAGGUUGUGCCCUUGAGGCGUGGCUUCCGGAGCUAACGCGUUAAGUCGACCGCCUGGGGAGUACGGCCGCAAGGUUAAAACUCAAAUGAAUUGACGGGGGCCCGCACAAGCGGUGGAGCAUGUGGUUUAAUUCGAUGCAACGCGAAGAACCUUACCUGGUCUUGACAUCCACGGAAGUUUUCAGAGAUGAGAAUGUGCCUUCGGGAACCGUGAGACAGGUGCUGCAUGGCUGUCGUCAGCUCGUGUUGUGAAAUGUUGGGUUAAGUCCCGCAACGAGCGCAACCCUUAUCCUUUGUUGCCAGCGGUCCGGCCGGGAACUCAAAGGAGACUGCCAGUGAUAAACUGGAGGAAGGUGGGGAUGACGUCAAGUCAUCAUGGCCCUUACGACCAGGGCUACACACGUGCUACAAUGGCGCAUACAAAGAGAAGCGACCUCGCGAGAGCAAGCGGACCUCAUAAAGUGCGUCGUAGUCCGGAUUGGAGUCUGCAACUCGACUCCAUGAAGUCGGAAUCGCUAGUAAUCGUGGAUCAGAAUGCCACGGUGAAUACGUUCCCGGGCCUUGUACACACCGCCCGUCACACCAUGGGAGUGGGUUGCAAAAGAAGUAGGUAGCUUAACCUUCGGGAGGGCGCUUACCACUUUGUGAUUCAUGACUGGGGUGAAGUCGUAACAAGGUAACCGUAGGGGAACCUGCGGUUGGAUCACCUCCUUACCUUAAAGAAGC
rnacentral:rRNA from 1 species